ACUCCUACGGGAGGCAGCAGUGGGAAUAUUGCACAAUGGGCGCAAGCCUGAUGCAGCAACGCCGUGUGAGUGAAGAAGGUUUUCGGAUCGUAAACUCUGUCCUAAGGGAAGAAACAAAUGACGGUACCUUAGGAGGAAGCCCCGGCUAACUACGUGCCAGCAGCCGCGGUAAUACGUAGGGGCGAAGCGUUAUCCGGAAUCACUGGGCGUAAAGGUGCGUAGGCGGCUUAGCAAGCCAGGGUGAAAGGCAUUGGCUCAACCAAUGUAAGCCUUUGGAAACUGUUAGGCUUGAGUGCAGGAGAGGUAAGUGGAAUUCCUAGUGUAGAGGUGAAAUUCGUAGAUAUUAGGAGGAACACCAGUGGCGAAGGCGACUUACUGGACUGUAACUGACGCUGAUGCACGAAAAGCGU
rnacentral:rRNA from 1 species